rnacentral:rRNA from 1 species
UACGUAGGGUGCAAGCGUUGUCCGGAAUUAUUGGGCGUAAAGAGCUCGUAGGCGGUCUGUCGCGUCUGCUGUGAAAACUCAGGGCUUAACCCUGAGCUUGCAGUGGGUACGGGCAGACUAGAGUGUGGUAGGGGAGACUGGAAUUCCUGGUGUAGCGGUGAAAUGCGCAGAUAUCAGGAGGAACACCGAUGGCGAAGGCAGGGCUCUGGGCCACUACUGACGCUGAGAAGCGAAAGCAUGGGGAGCGAACAGG